GACGAACGCUGGCGGCGUGCCUAAUACAUGCAAGUAGAACGCUGAAGGAGGAGCUUGCUCUUCUGGAUGAGUUGCGAACGGGUGAGUAACGCGUAGGUAACCUGCCUGGUAGCGGGGGAUAACUAUUGGAAACGAUAGCUAAUACCGCAUAACAGUAGAUGUUGCAUGACAUUUACUUAAAAGGUGCAAUUGCAUCACUACCAGAUGGACCUGCGUUGUAUUAGCUAGUUGGUGGGGUAACGGCUCACCAAGGCGACGAUACAUAGCCGACCUGAGAGGGUGAUCGGCCACACUGGGACUGAGACACGGCCCAGACUCCUACGGGAGGCAGCAGUAGGGAAUCUUCGGCAAUGGACGGAAGUCUGACCGAGCAACGCCGCGUGAGUGAAGAAGGUUUUCGGGUCGUAAAGCUCUGUUGUAAGAGAAGAACGAGUGUGAGAGUGGAAAGUUCACACUGUGACGGUAUCUUACCAGAAAGGGACGGCUAACUACGUG
rnacentral:rRNA from 1 species